GUGUUCGGAGUGGAGCUCCUUGAAGUCCAAUAGAGGUUCUUGCAGGGUAUAUUGAGCUGCUGAGCUAUGGAUCCCACAGCCCUAUCCCUUCUUUGAGAGGUUUUCCGGGAUAGGCUUGCGGCUUGCAUAUCUCAGGAGCUGCAUUACCUUAGUCAGAUCCUUGUUUGGAUUGAAGGGAGCUCUACACCUCUCUCCU
rnacentral:pre_miRNA from 2 species